rnacentral:lncRNA from 1 species
AGGCAGUAGUGGCAAACCGGCUGGAGUUCCGUUUUGCGAUGUGGUUUCGUUCUUCUUUCGCUCUUUGUAAUAAAUCUUGCUACUGCUCACUGUUUGGGUCUACACUGCCUUUAUGAGCUGUGACACUCCCCAGGAAGGCCUGCAGCUUCACUCCUGAAACCAGCGGGACCACGAACCCAUCAGAAGGAAGAAACUCCAAACACAUCCCAAUAUCAGAAGGAACAAACUCCAGACACGCCGCUUUUAAGAACUGUAACACUCACCGCGAGGGUCUGCAGCUUCAUUGUUGAAGUCCGUGAGACUAAGAAUCCUCCAAUUCCGGGCACAGGAUUAUGCUGCAGUAACAAACAACCCAAGUCCCAGGAGCUUAAAACAAGAGUUUAUUUUUCACCAAAAUUAUCUAUUUAAUAAUGCAGGUUGGCAAGAUGGAGACUAGGGGAGGGUUCAGCUAGUUGUAUUUUUUCAGGGAUCCAGGGUGAUGGAAGUUUCUUCUCAACUUUUGUCUUCAGGAUCAUCUGUGGUAGUGGAUCAGAGCAUUCAAUGAUCUUCCACCACAAGUUAAAUGCUCUGGUCUAAGCUAGCACACAUGACUUCCACCCACAACUCUUCAGGUAGCACUGAUUCCAUGUCCUUGCCCAACUACAGGGUGGAGGAGGCAGAGAAGUACAAUCCACCCAGGAGCUUGGGAGGAAAGGAGAAUAGCCUCUGAAUCAUAGAAGACUCCAUGGCAGCUGCUUUUGUCUCCCUUUGUCACUGCCACGCCUCCUCUUCCUCCAUAAAUAGACAUUCCAGUGCUUUUGAUCCUCUAGAGCUCUGCCUUUUUGUUAUUAUUGUUGCUAUUACUUGAUCUACCAGUUUUUGAGAAGAGUGAAUUAAAAUCCUCACUGCAGGCCAGCCACGGUGGCUCACGCCUGUAAUCCCAGCACUUUGGGAGGCCGAGACCGGCGGAUCACCUGAAGUCGGGGGUUUGAGACCAGCCUGGCCAACAUGGUGAAAACGCAAAUCUACAAAAAUAUAAAAAUUAGCCGGGCAUGAUGGUGGGUGCCUGUAAUCCCAGCUACUUGGGAGGCUGAGGCAUGAGUAUUGCUUCAACCCAGGAGGUGGAGGUUGCAGUGAGCCAAGAUCAUGUCAUUGCACUCCAGCCUGGGCAACAGAGUGAGACUCCCUCUCCAAAAAUAAAAAUAAAAAGAAUAAAAUAAUAAAAUAAAAUCCUCAAUGCAAUUGAUUUACCUAUUUCUCCCCAGUUGGUCAGUACUGCUUUAUAUAUUUAGGUGGUAUUGUUAGCCAAAUAUAUAGUCCUUU